rnacentral:misc_RNA from 1 species
UGUGAUGAUCUUCAAAAUUCUCUUUCUCUGAUCAAGGAUGCAGUAAUCAAAAGCAAAAGGGCUGCUGAAUUAUAAAUACAUACACAUAUGAGCAUGUGUAGCAUAUAAUAAUAUAUUAAAAAAAUAAAAUUCAAAAUAAAAUAUUAUAUGUUCAUAAUUACUGCAAAAGUAUAGAACUUAUCAAAUAAUUUUGAAUUAAUUAUUGAGUAUUUAAUGUUUUAUUUUUGAAUUUAAUAUGAUUAUAUAGUAUAGUUUCCUAAAAAUAAUGUAUUCUGUAGAAUAAGAUCGAGAACAGUGCCCAUCAAAUAAUUUCCUAUAAUGAAG